GUGAUUGAAGACCGUAUUGUACUGCUUGGAUCUCUUCAAAAUAGCAAAAACAAGAGGACACAAAAUAUGGCUGUUGCACUAUAGCUUAGAGUUCUCCAGGCUGCUAUGGAAUUUAUAAGGACCAUUGCAGAUCACAACUCUGAAAACCUUACAGAUCCAUUCCAGUCACCAUCUGCUGCCCUUUAUGCAGUGUUUCAGAAGCGGAAAAGCAUUGCUGGUACAGGAAGCUCCAGUCCACCACCCUGGGCAGCUCCUCCCUGUGGGUCUAAACUUGGUUCUGCAACUCAGGCUGUGCCCACCAUCUUUGAAAAAUGUUUUCCUGGCUUCUUCUGAGAUUGACUGCCACUCUCCCCACAUUUCAUUGUACUCACACCCAUGGCUUGAUAUUUCACUGUUUCCGAAGGCUUUUAUUUUGUGCAAAGAGUUUCAGAUGUCUUCUAGUUUCAAAGAAAAUGGAGUCUCCUGUACAUUACUCAUUCUUUUUGUUGUUUUAGAAUAAUUUCCACAAAGAGAAGGGGGAAAUGCUAACUUUAAAGUUUACUACUGCUGUAGAUUGAUUGAAUUUUUUCCUCCAAAGUUCAUCUUUGAGAAGCUUAAUUUCCAUUGUAACUGUUGAGGGUGGGAAGUUCUAUUAUGGU